CACAUAAUAAUUCGUUUAGAGGAAAGAGUUAAUCAGCAAAAAUGAAAGUUUGAAUGCAUACAAAAUGAGAAAGCGUCUAGUAAAGCGCUGUCCCAGUCUAAUCGAAUCGGUCCUCUUGUUUUAUUAUAUUUGGAUGGGAACGGAAAUGUUCGAACAGCAGGAAGUCCUGGAUUGCGCGAAGAUGUGUUGGACGUUGCCAG